GACGUAGGUGGCGAACGUUAUCCGGAAUCAUUGGGCGUAAAGGGUGCGUAGCUGGCAUGAUAAGUUAUUAGUGGGAAAUCAAGGCUCAACCUCGUGGAAGCUAGUAAUACUGUUUUGCUUGAGUACAGAAGAGGUUAACGGAACUCCAUGUGGAGCGGUAAAAUGCGUAGAUAUAUGGAAGAACACCAAUAACGGCGAAGGCAGUUAACUAUUCUGUUACUGACAUUGAGGCACGAAAGCGUGGGGAGCAAAACGG
rnacentral:rRNA from 1 species